rnacentral:tRNA from 1 species
GGGCGCGUAGCUCAGUUGGUUAGAGCGCCUGCUUCACACGCAGGAGGUCACAGGUUCGAGUCCUGUCGCGCCCA